CCUACGGGAGGCAGCAGUGGGGAAUUUUGGACAAUGGGCGCAAGCCUGAUCCAGCCAUGCCGCGUGUGGGAAGAAGGCCUUCGGGUUGUAAACCACUUUUGUCAGGGAAGAAACGGCUUUUUCUAAUACAGAGAGCUAAUGACGGUACCUGAAGAAUAAGCACCGGCUAACUACGUGCCAGCAGCCGCGGUAAUGCGUAGGGUGCAAGCGUUAAUCGGAAUUACUGGGCGUAAAGCGUGCGCAGGCGGCUUUGCAAGACAGAUGUGAAAUCCCCGGGCUCAACCUGGGAACUGCAUUUGUGACUGCAUGGCUAGAGUACGGUAGAGGGGGAUGGAAUUCCGCGUGUAGCAGUGAAAUGCGUAGAUAUGCGGAGGAACACCGAUGGCGAAGGCAAUCCCCUGGACCUGUACUGACGCUCAUGCACGAAAGCGUGGGGAGCAAACAGGAUUAGAUACCCUGGUAGUCCACGCCCUAAACGAUGUCAACUGGUUGUUGGACGGCUUGCUGUUCAGUAACGAAGCUAACGCGUGAAGUUGACCGCCUGGGGAGUACGGCCGCAAGGUUGAAACGUCAAAGGAUUGACGG
rnacentral:rRNA from 1 species